rnacentral:misc_RNA from 1 species
AGUGAGCCCGGUUCACUCCUCAUCUAAUUACGAGAUCAUAGCUGCUAGACUGGAGAACGCGAGCAUACAUUUCCUGUAGUUGCCGUUGGGCUGUCCGCUGCGUGUGUGUUCGCAUUUGUUUCUUUGCGUGUUGUUGUUUUUCCUUUGAAUUUGCGUAGAGGCGGUGCGCGUGUGUGCUCCGUCGCUCAUGCGUGAGGUUGACGUCCUCUCGCACCACCACCCCUCUUCCCUCCCUCUCUUCUCGUUCUUUCCAAAGCGUGUAUUGUUAUUGUUGUCGCUGCUGUAUUUAUUUUCCUUCCCUUCUUUGCCCUCUGCUCAGUUUUGUGUGCGUGUCCUUGCGAAAUUGGGAAUUCCCGCCACUCCACCAGAGACCGCCUCCCUCUCCUCUGUGCCGUUUGUUUUCCACCCGUCGCACUGCCCGUCGAUACACGGCACGGUGCUCGCUGCUGCUCGUCCCACAUCUAUUGCAAGCAUUGGCGGCCUCUUUUCCCUUUCGGUCUCCUUCACAUAGACGGCACGUGCUGCGACGAAAAAAAAGCGGCGCAUUAGAAUCACACAGAGACACCGCCCCGCACUGCCUUUCCCUCCACCCUCCCACGGCCCUUGCCAUCGCCUCAGUAGUCUGUGUGUCCACAUACACACGCGGAUACAACCCAACGGGGCACAGCGGCGCGGAGGCAAAAAGUGUUUUGUUGUUGUUGUUUUGCGUACAAGGCUGCACUCGUCGAUACACAACUGCAGACCAUUCUGAGAAGGGGAGGAGAGAAACGGAGCGGUUGAAUCGGCCAUCCUGCCCUUUUCGUCCCUCUGUCUCCCCAGCCCAUCUCCGUGUGUUUAGGUCUCUCUUACUUGUGCACCUAUUUUUUUUUUUGCGCGGAGCGGUGCUUCGGCGUAUGCCCAGCAUGGACUCGCUCCGCACUGCCGUGGAUAAUGCACCGCUUCUGGUGAACCUGCUGCGCCUCAUUCGCGAUGCACGGUCGCCCAACUACAAGGACCACGAGAAGGGCCCCGUCACGUUCCACUUCGGCGGCCUUUCGAUGCGCGAUACCGGUAGCUACGAGGAGGCGGAGGAGCUUUGGCGGCAGUCCAGCUGGAGCAGCGGUGCCCUGGCACCCAACGCCGCCGGCCCCUUCCGCGGCCCGCUUCACCUCGUCGUCUAUCUCAAUCACUCUCCGGUAGAAGUGUGGACGCUGCAGGACUACCGCGAGCCGGCGACCGACCACUCUGUGCCGCGCGACUUUGAGCAACUCGAGGCCCUCAACACGCUAGUACGUGUUCUUUUUGCCCACCUGCGAUGUCAGGAUAUCUACGGCGUCGUGCUGCAGAGCUGUGUCACGGCAACCGACGACGCCAACAACCACUUCCCCGCUUCCCCCAGCGGCAAUGUCAGAUCGCCGCCACAGUCUCCUCCGCCGCGAAACGCGUCGCUGAGCAGGGAACGUACCCCUCAUUCGCCCGCUAACCAUGUCUCGUUGCGCCUCUUUCGGUCCGCCGAGGAAUGCCCAACGAUCCCAGUGCACGCGCGGCGGCAGUAUCUCUGGUCCAGUGACGACUUUGUGCGCGUGGACGUGACGAUGGACCGCACAUGGCGGCACCACUCUUGGGUCCAGCCUGGCACGCAAGCCGCCUCGCCUGUGCUGGCGGCCGGCGACAGGGAGAGGGGCACCGCGGCUUGUGCGGCAGCGGAGAGGUCGUCGCCGAUCCGCACUGCCAGCCCUGGUUUGCGUCGCUUCGGUAGCGAAGGCGAUACCCGCUCGCAGUCGAUCUCGCCAGAGGCCAUGGGCUCGCUCGGCAAGUCCUCCUUGCCCACCCCGUACCUAGCACCGGCCGCCACGUUAGCCCUCUCGUCGCAUCUCUCUCGCAGUCCUAGGACGAAUCUGUCUCCUCUGAUGCCCGGCUCUCGGCUGUCUCCAGCGCAGGGCGUCUCGGAGUUUGCCCUGCCACCCGCCGAUGUGUCGAGUCCGUUCGACUGCGAUCGGUCGCGGCAGUCGCGUUCCAGCCCUCCAAUUACGCACAGCUGCGUCUUUGCCAGCAGCCACCGAGCAGGAGGCGGUGGAGCAACGUACACGGCCGCCGUAGGGGCUGUGAAUCAGGUGGAGGAUGCGGUGUGGCUGUCAAACGCCGAGCACGUGCGCCGCAUGGGCACGCUCGUCUGCUCCCGCAAGCACUCACCGUCCGCCUCGUCGUCGCCCGUGAUGGGGAAAAAGUCCAGAAACAGCUUCACCCACCAGAAACAUGAGAUGGGGUCGCUUGUGCCCUCCAUCUCUAUCGGUGCCCUUUCCGGGAUCGGUUUCGACGGGCGGUUGCUCUCCAGCGAUGUGGAUCUGGAGGACCUCGCUGCCGAGACCGCGUCGGCAGGAAGCUCUGCAAGUGUGCCGAACAGCGCGGCCAUGGAGCAGCUGGUCUCACUUCUCGGUCUCUGCUCCAAGGUCAAGCUGCAGCACGUGCCGUCAGCCCCAUUUGGGGAUUUGGUGCUUUCUCUCAACCUACGCGAGGCGCCCUAACUUGCGGAGAACACGAAGCCCGAGAUAUAUGAGGGUCCGUGACGGAGUGAGGGUUGUUGUGGUUUUGGGGUGGGGAUAGGGUUAGGGGUCCGGUGGUCCACUUUCUGCUACAUGUUCGUCAUGACACGGUGCGUCUCUUCCUCCAUCCUUGCCGCCUUCCGCAGAGGACGCCUUUCCUCCCACGAUCGGGAUGGCGUUUCUCACGCGUUCGAGUGUGUUGUCUGCGUCUGUGCCUAUGUGUUCUUCGUACCUCGUUUUUAGUUUUUCAUUUUUCUUCUCUCGCGAUUCGCUUUUUUUGCAGCCGCUUCGGGAGGCGUGCGUGCUCACGUGUAUGCGUGUAGAUCUUCGUGGGUGAAGACACAUGUCCACCCUCCACCUUCUCUCAUUGCCUUCCCACCCGUGUACCCUUCUUUGGUCAUCUAUGCCACCUGUUUUCGUUGUUCUCCGUUUUGCCUUGUG